CCUGGUAGCUCAGAUGGUAAAGAAUCUGCCUGCAAUGCAGGAGACCCAGGUUUGAUCCCUGGGUCAGGA
rnacentral:tRNA from 1 species